rnacentral:snRNA from 1 species
GGUGUAGAGAUUAGCAUGACCCCUAUGCAAGGAUGACAUGAAAAUCCAAGAAACACUCCAUAUUUAA